rnacentral:rRNA from 1 species
AACGAACGCUGGCGGCAGGCUUAACACAUGCAAGUCGAACGCAUCCUUCGGGGUGAGUGGCAGACGGGUGAGUAACGCGUGGGAACGUGCCCUUCAGUUCGGGAUAACCCAGGGAAACUUGGGCUAAUACCGGAUACGUGCGAGAGCAGAAAGAUUUAUCGCUGAAGGAUCGGCCCGCGUCUGAUUAGCUAGUUGGUGGGGUAAUGGCCCACCAAGGCGACGAUCAGUAGCUGGUCUGAGAGGAUGAUCAGCCACCUUGGGACUGAGACACGGCCCAAACUCCGACGGGAGGCAGCAGUGGGGAAUAUUGGACAAUGGGCGCAAGCCUGAUCCAGCCAUGCCGCGUGAGUGAUGAAGGCCUUAGGGUUGUAAAGCUCUUUCGUCCGGGACGAUAAUGACGGUACCGGAAGAAGAAGCCCCGGCUAACUUCGUGCCAGCCGCCGCUGUAA